GUUUCUUCUACUUAUUGUGUAAGUUCAUGAUUUCUUCAUCUAAAAAUAUGAAUUGUGUUCUUGCUACUAUGGGUAACUAAAUCCACAACUAGGGUUGUGGAAACCAUGACCGAUUAACAAAGUAUGAAUAGUAAUUAAGUAAUUCUUGAAUAGUGUUAUUGCAUGCAUUGAUAAUUCUUUAAUUUACAAGUCUUUUUAACGAGUGUAUGCCAAGUACACGGAGUAGAGGCGAACCCUUGACCCCUUACGAUCCUGAAAAAACAAGAACUUUGAGGAAAAUGGCUAAUCCAGGAGUACACAGUAAUCCAAUCGGAGAGGGUCAAGGAGAUGGAAUCUGAGUAACUAAGGUGUCUGAGUCGUGCCACGACGUUAAAUUAAGCGCUUAUUGGAUGCAACCCAAUUAGUAGUGUAACUUAUUAUUUUAUUUUAUUAGUGUCCCUUUUUUGUCUUGUUUUUGCAGAUUAAGGGAACUCUCAGUACCAAAAAAAAAUUGAAGCAAAGGAGCAUGUUGGAGCUUAAGUGUGGGGUACAUUUGACCCUUGAUGAAAACAACUACUAGCUAGGCCAUGAGGCCUCAGGGAGUUUUCCUAACCCUUGUUUUGAAUUUUAUUUAAUGCUUUGGGGACAUAGCAUAUUUUUAAGUCUGGGGUGGAGGAAUUAAUUCCUAGUUUUUACUAUUUUAUUGAUUUUUUUUAGGAUGAGUUCCUUGGCUUUUUUUUCGGUGCUUUUCCUGCGAAUAGUCUCUUUGAACCAAGUGUCUUUCAUUUUUUUAGGAAUAAGUUUUCUGUUAAUUUUUUUUAGAGAAAAGAAAAGACCCUUUUGAGUGGUGUGAUACUUGCUAUUUAGGCCUAAUUUUUUAGUAGUACUUUCUUGUGAAUGCUUGAUUAAUAGUGAAAUUAAAAACUCUUUGACAUCUAGGUUCAUGGUUGUGACUUUGUAUAUAGCUUAUUUUAUUUUGUAGUUUGUUAUGAUCCUGUCUCUCUUAGAAGUGGAAUUGAUUCAUCUUGAUUGAUACUUCUGCCAUGUGUGGUGAGAAUUUGUAUAUUCCAUGUUUUGCAUCUUAGUCUAGAACUUGCCCUGCAUGUUAUUGAAGCGAAAUAAAAAGUGUUGCCUUGUUUAGGAGAUGAAAAUAGGUUUUCUUUGAUUUGUCUGGUAAUUUUAGCUUUUCCAGAUAUUAUAUCACUAGUUAACCAUUUUGAGCCUUUUAGCCUAUAUUUUUCUUGUAAACCACAUGAUCGAGCCGAAUCCCUUUUUAUUGAUACCAUAAUUCUAUUUUGACCCAAAAAGAAAUCCUUAAUGCACUAUGUUGAGAAAAAAAUUAAAUUGCAAACAUUGGUAGAAGAAGAAAAAAGGGUGAAAAUGCUUGAUGUGUGAAGAAUGAAGAAAAGUGUGAAAACUCUAUUUUGGCCCUGGUCCCUUGUGUAUAUUGUGCACCUCAACCAAUCUUUAAAAACCUAAGUUGAGGGUGGCUAAUUCAGAAGUAUGCUUAAAACAUUGGAUUUGGUCCUACUACCAAGGAUAUUUUGUACCUCACUUGAGUUGAGGGUGGCUAGUGCAAAACCUCUAAAAAAAAGAAGAAAAAAAACCAAAUUUUUUUUGAAGCAUUCUUCAGAUGAUGAGCAUUACUUGUGAAAUAAUUAUUGAAGAGAGGACUGAAAAUAAAGAAAAGAAAAUAAUGGGUGAUGAAGUCUAAAAUUGCAAAGUGCUUAAGGAAGUGUAAGUCACUAUUAUUUCCUACACAUCCCUUAGCCUACAUUACAACCCGUUAAAGUCCUAUUUAAUUUUAUUCAAGCAUGCUUAAUUAGUGGAGAUCAUGUACAUAAUGGGCAAGCCUAUGGUUCUUUGUGCAUACAUGUGAAUUUUAUUUGUGAGUGUGAGAGUAGUUCUUGAUAUGAGGUCCUUAAUUUAUAUUCAAUAUGUUGAAUUGAGUGUGUUGACUAUUUCUUUUUGUGAGGGCACAUGUUUCAUGAUAGAUAGGUUAUUUUAUUAGCUUUCUUUGAUGAGGGUAGGUGAGCAAGCUUUAAUUUGAUGAGCUCAAAGUACUUCCUUGAGGUUAGGAGGUUAGAGGGGAUUGUACUUGACGUUUUAAAAUUUGUACAUGGGUUAAUUGUUUGUGUCAACCAAAGCGAUGACAUUCCUAGUUUGAGUUUUUUUUUAGAUGAGCUUUAAUGUUUGUUCGAGGACGAACAAAAGUUUAAGUGUGGGAUGCUAAUGUGAGGUCAAAAAUAUUUUUUUUUAUUAUUAUUUGCCUCACAUUUAUUAUUUAUUUUUUUCAUUUUUGAAAUUGAAUUUUAUGGAUUGUGCUAAAUAGUAUAUUUUAUUUGUAGUAUUAACUUGGUGGAAAAAUGAAGAAGUUUGGAGCUAAAAUGAAUUAAAGAUGAAAGGUGGAAGAAGGAAAUCAAGCAGGCACCUUAAUGGAUUAAAGUUAAUAAAAUAAUAUAUUUAUACAUAUGCAUUUUAGGGUUCGUUUCUUCUUCUUAUUUUGGGUUAGACAUUAUUACUUUUAUUCUAGUUUUUGGCUUUGGAGAUUAACUUGCAAUUUUAGCAAUUCUUGAUUUCCUAAGUUUGUUUUGAAGAUUUUGACUUUGAAAUUCAAGUUGAGAUUCUGGGUUUCUUCUACUUAUUGCGUAAGUUCAUGAUUUCUUCAUCUAAAAAUAUGAAUUGUGUUCUUGCUACAAUGGGUAACUAAAUCCAAAACUACGGUUGUGGGAACCAUGAGCGAUUAACAAAGUAUGAAUAGUAAUUAAGUAAUUCUUGAAUAGUGUUAUUGCAUGCAUUGAUAAUUCUUUCGUUUAGAAGUCAUUUUAACGAGUGCACGCGUUAGAACU
rnacentral:lncRNA from 1 species